CUGAGCCAGAGGAGCUUACAGCUAGAACUUAGAAAUCAUCUAAUCCAGUGAUGACAGACAUAGCACACACACCACCCCUUUCCUAACCUGUGUCCAAGGCAGACAUCACUAAUCAACCCCUGCAUACUUUGCUACUGGGCCAAGAUAUAAUCUCACAGUCUUCAAUACAAGGCUCCAGUUUCCAGGUCUCUGCUGGUCCCCAGGGAGCACUUUGACCCCUGCUUCCUGCUCGAGUGCUAUGGAUCAAGCCUUUCCCUCCACCCAUCAUCCCACCAAAGGGGCUGCUGAUCAAGAGGCCCCACCCAGCCAGGUAAGGCCUUUGGCACUCCCUGCCCCCAGUCCCCCCCGAAAGCCCCCAGUCCCAUCUGGGGCCCUGAGCAGGUCUGGCCGUGCCCCACCCUUGUCCGAGUUGCCCUCGCCCUGGGUCUGGAGAUGCCAGACUCUUUGCCCCUCCCCUGCAACGCGGCAGGGCCCUUUGCCCUCCUCUUCCUGCCAAGUCAGGGGGCCCUGGCUACUCCCCUGCCCCCUGCCCAGGCCCUCACAAGGCCUGGCAGGCCCUGAGAGCUCCCUGAGGCAGGGAUCCAGCCCUCCCCAACCCCAAGCUGGGAUCAGGACCUUGGACAGAAAAGAGGUGGUCUUUGGGACUCUUCCUCAGAACCCCCAGCCACCCCCCAGCUGGCCCCUGGCCCCGGUCAUGGUGAUUGAGGGCACCGAAGAGAGUGGGUGUGGAGCCCCAGCUGGGUGGCCUUAGUCCAGCUCCGCCCCCCCUCUGAGCCUCAGUUCCCUCAUCUGCGAAGCAGUUGUCCCCAGGUGCCUCCAGAGUUCAUCUCAACACUACCCGAAAUGAUACCUAUGAAACCUCAGCACGUGCCCCCCUGGCUGUUAAGAUGGAGGUUACAGAGCCUUAGGGGAGGGGCAGUCCCUGCAGCCCCCAGGUUCCCCUUCCCUCACCUCCAACCUCCCCCACCCCCGCUCCGUGCGAAGUUGGUUGGCCCAGGCCUCACCAGGCUACCAGCCCUCCAAGUUAAUGAUCACAGGCCUUAUCAGAGCCUUUUGCCAUUUAUAAAUUUAUAAAACAAAAGAGAAAUAAUAAAGCCCGUGGGUAAUUAGUAACCAGGUCAGCUCUGCUGAGGAGAGGGGAGGCAUCGGGCUCAGACCCACCCAGUUCUCCAGGAGAUGGGGAGCCAGCCAGUGGGUGGGGUACAGAGUGGGGAGGCUUCUAACGGUACCCACUGGUGAGGGGCAUGGCCUGAGGCUGUGCUGGAAAGGGGAGCAGCUCCCAUCCUAAAGCUCCAUUUCCCUCAGGUAAGAAAGACCUGGGUUCUGCUGGCUGAAUGCUUGAGUUCCGGGGAGGCCAAGCGGGGCGCCCAAAACCCCGGCCUGGGCUCCCCCUCCCCACUGGUGCAUCCGGGGGCCUAGCAGGGAAGUUGGGAUUGGGAGAGUCGAAAUGGGCAUGGUAGCUAAAAAUUCCCUGCCUCCCCACCCCCGUUGUCCAGGGACUAGAAUCGUGGACUCUCCUGCUUUGUCCCCACCUUGGGGCUCCCCUGGGGCAUGCCCCACUUCCCAAGCACUGGGCUGAAAGCCUUGGCUCAUGGAGACUCGGGACCCCUCAGAGGGCCGGGUCAGGGGCUGGAGGCUCCAACCUCCGAGCUAGGACCCCACCCCACCCCCGCUUCCAAGCUCUAAUGGGCCCUGUCCCCCUUGCCGACAACCAGCCUAAAGGCUACAGCCCAUGGGACUCUGGACUGGCAAGGGCUGGUCAGGAGCCGAGGCUGGGCCCCUCCGGGCUCCUUGGGAGCUGGGGACAGGGGAGGGGUCCUUACUGCAGCAGGGUCUCCACCACGGCUUUCUGGUGGGCUGCCUCCUCGGGGCUGAGGUUCUCCAGCUCUCUGAGAAUGGGCGGUGUGAAGUCUUCACCCUCGUCGUCCGUCUCGUCCUCGGAGCCCCUCGUCUCCCCCAGCCCAUUGGGCAACUCGGCCAGCUCCCCUCGACCGCCGCCACCGCAGGACUCCCCCUUGUCCGGGGGGCCGUCUCCGGCCAGCAGGUAGGGCCCCGGCUCACCCAACGCCUGGAUCAGCGCCUCUUUGCUCAGGCCCGACUCGAGCAAGGCCGCCAGGAGCUCCGUCUGCAGCUGGCUCAGUUUAGAAACCAUGGCUCCACUAGCGCGGGCCACGCGGCCCAGGGCCACUGAGCCAGCCGCCUCCCCGCCGUGUGGGCUGGCUCCGUGCUGGCCGGCCAGCAGGCAGGCCCAAACCAGGCUCCUUGCGCCCGCUGCCCCCCCAAACCCCACUAGCCAAGCCCUGUGGGCACCCCCAACCCCCAACCCUGGCCCCAGUGGCCAGUGAAUCAGGGCCCCUGCCCGCUCUGUUUACAUUGGAGCUGGGGAAAUUCUCCAAGGUUCAUAUUUAUCCAUGUGCUUAGCGAAGGGACUGAACUUUGGACUUCACCCUGCAAAGUGCAGGCCUCAUGGCAGCGCAGAGGGACGGGGAGCCGUGGCCUUCCAUGGGAGUGGGCAGAGCGGAGGGCGGGGGAGGCAGCGGUGGCGGGCCCAGGACAGCUGGGAUGGAAGGUGCUGGGAGCCGGGGAGGCCUUCGGGUGACCAGCAUCGGGUCCCUCCCCCAGUGACCUCGUAGGGGGCCAGGCUGAGGCAAGAGAACAAAAACAGCCUUGGGAACAGAAGCAGCAGAGAGUUCUAGGCUGUCGGGUAAACUCUCCUCAAGGGCAAGGCUAGGACACAUCCAUUUGAGGACCCCCCACUGCCAGCCCCAACAUCUGGCCUCCCAGGAGGGAAAACGCUUCGACUUAAGUCUACUGUGGGCUGGGUCUGUAACGUGCGUCAUUACCUCAGUGUAGCCCCCUAACAGCUGUGAGUAGGUACAGGGAUUAUGCCCAUUUUACAGAGGAGGAAACUGAGGCUCUGAGAGGGUAAGCAACUCGCUCAAAGUCACACAGCUAACAGGGACAAGAUUUGUGGAGUGGGAGCAGGGUGAGGCCAGUCAAGCACUUGGUGCAGGUGCAAAUUUUAAGGGGACGUCGAAAAACUCAAGAUGAAAAAAUAUUUUUAUAUACUCUAUUAAAAAUUCAAAAUUAAUGCAAAACCCAAAAGAACUUAAAAGAAAUGUCCACACGAAAACUUGCUUGCGAAUGUUCUCAGCAGCAUGAUUCACAAGAGCUAAAAAAUAGAAAAAACAUAAAUAUCCAUCAGUGGAUGAAUGGAUAGAAGAAAUGUGGUCUGUCUGUGCAAUGGCAUAUUAUUUGGCCAUAAAAAGGAAUGAAGUCCUGAUUCAUGCUACAGUAGGCAUGAAUCUUGAAGACAUCAUGCUAAGUGAAAGAAGCCAGACACAAAAGGCCAUCUAUUGUAUGAUUCCAUGUAUAGGAAACGUCCAGAAUAGGCAAAUCCAUACAGACAGAAAGUAGAUUCGUGGUUGCUGGGGGCUGGGGAGGUGGGGGUGGGCACAGGGAAUGGCUGCUUAAUGGGUACAGGGUUUCUUUGGAGAUGAUGGAAAUGUUCUAAUAUUGAUGGGGUGAUGUUACACAACUCUGUAAAUUUACUAAAAACCACUGAAGUUUGCAAUUUAAAAGGGCAAAUUUUAUGAUCUAUGAAUCAAUAAAAUAUACUUUUCAUUAAUUUGAAAAAUUAAUGCCAAAAAUCUGUGAUGGACAAAAAAUAUCAAAAUGUUAAAUAAAGGCAGGUUCCAACCCUCACUCACCUCCCGCUAAUGCCAGUCCUAGGCAAAAACUCAUCCUCAACCCCCACCCUUCCCUCUUCCGGUAAGAGCCUGGACAAAAAUUCCUGCUGUCUGUCCCCUGGGGUGGCCCUAAGCUCCCAGAACAAGGGGUGUGCGCCAUUGCCUGGAGCAGGCAGGGUGGUGCUGAGGGGCUGCCCCCAGGCUGGGGCAUCUCUCAGGGGUCUGCAGAGCCAGGGUCAUGCUUGGCAGCGGUGGAAGGGAAAAGGCGCCCUUGGCCAGAAGGCCCUCCCUGCAGGCCAGGCUAGGCCAGCAGGGGGACAGGGGCUUCUCAGUUCUUCAUUUUUGUACUCACCUGACACACUCGGCAGCUGUGAGGCCCGUGCGGCCACUGAGCACUUGAAAUGUGGCUAAUGCCUCUGACUGAAAUGAUAAUAUUUUGGAUCUAUUGAGUGAACGUUUUUAAUUUUAAAACUAAAUAUUUUAAAAAUUAGAAAACUUAA